CAAUGGAGGAAGGUUCCAUCCAGAGAGUUGUCGAUUGAUCUGGUAGCUGACGAGCGGAUCGGUCGGGUAACCGGCCGGUUCGAAGCCUCGUGACAAAGGCCGCCUUGGGCGGUUGAGCAAUCCAGUGGGCCGUAACGCGA
rfam:Rhizobium lusitanum strain P1-7 genome assembly, contig: Ga0061101_140